rnacentral:rRNA from 1 species
AACGAACGCUGGCGGCAUGCCUAACACAUGCAAGUCGAACGAGACCUUCGGGUCUAGUGGCGCACGGGUGCGUAACGCGUGGGAACCUGCCCUUAGGUUCGGAAUAACUCCCCGAAAGGGGUGCUAAUACCGGAUAAUGUCUUCGGACCAAAGAUUUAUCGCCUUUGGAUAGGCCCGCGUUGGAUUAGCUAGUUGGUAGGGUAAAAGCCUACCAAGGCGACGAUCCAUAGCUGGUCUGAGAGGAUGAUCAGCCACACUGGGACUGAGACACGGCCCAGACUCCUACGGGAGGCAGCAGUGGGGAAUAUUGGAAAAUGGGCGGAAGGCUGAUCCAGCAAUGCCGGGUGAAUGAUGAAGGCCUUAGGGUUGUAAAGCUCUUUUACCCGGGAUGAUAAUGACAGUACCGGGAGAAUAAGCUCCGGCUAACUCCGUG